GAUGAACGCUGGCGGCGUGCCUAAUACAUGCAAGUCGAGCGAACAGACGAGGAGCUUGCUCCUCUGACGUUAGCGGCGGACGGGUGAGUAACACGUGGAUAACCUACCUAUAAGACUGGGAUAACUUCGGGAAACCGGAGCUAAUACCGGAUAAUAUAUUGAACCGCAUGGUUCAAUGGUGAAAGACGGUUUUGCUGUCACUUAUAGAUGGAUCCGCGCCGCAUUAGCUAGUUGGUAAGGUAACGGCUUACCAAGGCAACGAUGCGUAGCCGACCUGAGAGGGUGAUCGGCCACACUGGAACUGAGACACGGUCCAGACUCCUACGGGAGGCAGCAGUAGGGAAUCUUCCGCAAUGGGCGAAAGCCUGACGGAGCGACGCCGCGUGAGUGAUGAAGGUCUUCGGAUCGUAAAACUCUGUUAUUAGGGAAGAACAAAUGUGUAAGUAACUAUGCACGUCUUGACGGUACCUAAUCAGAAAGCCACGGCUAACUACGUG
rnacentral:rRNA from 1 species